GUACUUUUCUUUGAUUCACACAGAGACUUGUGUGCAGCAUUGUGAAAACAUGAAGAUUGCACUUCUUGCUUUUCUGCUGUUGCUCGCUGUCAGCACUGGUGAAGGCCUGAGGUGCUACUGCAGUGGCAACGCUAGCUGCUCAGGGCGAGAGCAGACCUGUGGCUACAAUCGUGAUUACUGCGGCAGUUUUGUUCUGGGCGGUAAAUUCGUCAGACGUUGCAUGAAAGGGGGUGAGUGCCAAAUUUUGGACGCACGCUGCUGCACGACUGAUCUCUGCAACAGCUAAAGAGGAUG